GAAUUUUGGACAAUGGGCGAAAGCCUGCUCCAGCAAUGCCGCGUGCAGGAUGAAGGCCUUCGGGUUGUACACUGCUUUUGUACGGACCGCACAGCUUUGGGUUCAUACCCUGGAUUCAUUACGGUACCGUAAGCAUAAGCACCGGCUAACUACCUCCCCGCCGCCGCGGUAAUACGUAGGGUGCAAGCGUUAAUCGGAAUUACUGGGCGUAAAGCGUGCGCAGGCGGUUUUGUAAGACAGAGGUGAAAUCCCCGGGCUCAACCUGGGAACUGCCUUUGUGACUGCAAGGCUAGAGUACGGCAGAGGGGGGUGGAAGUCCGCGUGUAGCAGUGAAAUGCGUAGAUAUGCGGAGGAACACCGAUGGCGAAGGCAACCCCCUGGGCCUGUACUGACGCUCAUGCACGAAAGCGUGGGGAGCAAACA
rnacentral:rRNA from 1 species